rnacentral:rRNA from 1 species
AUUGAACGCUGGCGGCGUGCUUAACACAUGCAAGUCGAUCGGUAACGCGGGGGCAACCCUGGCGACGAGAGGCGGACGGGUGAGGAACGCUUGGGAAUCUGCCUAUCAGCGGGGGACAACACGGGGAAACUCGUGCUAAUACCGCAUACGCUCUACGGAGGAAAGCCGGGGACCGCAAGGCCUGGCACUGAUAGAUGAGCCCAAGCCGGAUGUAGCUAGUUGGCGGGGUAACGGCCCACCAAGGCGACGAUCCGUAGCUGGUCUGAGAGGACGAUCAGCCACACUGGGACUGAGACACGGCCCAGACUCCUACGGGGGGCAGCAGUGGGGAAUAUUGGACAAUGGGGGAAACCCUGAUCCAGCGACGCCGCGUGGGUGAAGAAGGCCUGCGGGUUGUAAAGCCCUUUCGGUAGGGACGAAAGCUCUCGACCUAACACGUCGGGAGGUUGACUUAACCUACAAAAGAAGCACCGGCUAACUCUGUGCCAGCAGCCGCCGUAACAC